CUUCAGUGUUGUUUCCCGAUUCCUGCAUUUCAGAAGUUUCUUGAAACAAGUGUAAAACAGCGAGGACGGGUGUGCCUUGCUCUGGGAUAAAACAUGGAGGAAUGCAGUAGUCUGACAAACCCAGAGGAAGUUAAAGGAUAUGGCAAAAAA